rnacentral:lncRNA from 1 species
UCGAUCCUAGCAGGUGUACAGAAGUACUUGAUUGCAUCUAGUUCUGUAUUAUGGUAAAUUAAAAAUGCAGCUAGAAGGAGCACAUGGAAUUGCAGUUGUAUCAAAGUGGUCCAUCCAUGGUCAAUAAUCUCAAUGCCCUAAUUAGUGCGCAGAAGAAGAUCACAUUCAUGCAUGCUACAGAUACAUGGGGUAUAUAGGUAAUUUCAGUCGAGAACUACAAAGCUUUGGUGUCUUAUUGCAUGCAGCGACUGUUAACCACCCCUGCCCUUUUGCCCUUUCGUCUGCAAACCCAGCCUUAUGGAUUUUGCCAUUUAUAGACACUUUUUAAGGCUGUGAGCCAACUAGGCUUUCCCCAAAUGUCAAACAAAUCGAAGACUUGGGUUGAUGUAUAUAUGUAUGACGACUUGGGUUGGCUUAUGGGUUGGCGUUAGAUAAGUGUAUUAUUAAGUGUUAAUCAUCUAUGUAAACAUGGCUUAGUCAUUAAGCAUGAUCGUGGAAUUUCUACUAAUUAGUUAAAGUGUCAUUAGUCUGCAACUGACGAUCUUUAUGAGUCACAACUUUUUUAGGCACGUCCAAAUGACUCAUAAACUUUGAUUUACAUCAUCAACUUCUACUAUUUGUACACCAAUUAUAUGCCUAGCCAAAUUUUGAUAAGGAAAAAAACAAGAGGGGUAAAUUAAGCAAAUCAAUACAUAUGCAUUGCCUGGUUUUGAUGAGACUAAUUAUAUGUAGAUUAUGUUAAUUAGGACAACAAAUUACUAAAGAUUUCAUGAAAAUUUAAUUGUGUUUGUGAGGCUUUUUCUCUUAGUGAAUUACUGAACUAUUGCAUCUUGUAUGGUAGCAAAUUAACCCUAGUUAAUUAUUUACUCCAAGAACAACCAAAUUGGAUAAAGAACAAAGGUUGAAAAAUUGUUGUUGAUUGGUCCCCACCCUCCCCCUAAAAUUUUUUCAACACUGCAAUGAGAAUAUAAUGAUUUAUCUUCAGUUAUGGGGCCCCAAACCUUCAUUUCAUCGGACCACUACCAAUACUCAACACUCCAACCAUUUCAAAACCCUAGCAUAUUACAUGCACUGUCAUGGAGGCUCAAAAUGUGACCGUUGGAUGAGUGCUAUAAAUAGAGAAGAAAUAAAAAUGAUUGUUUGCCUAAAAUGGAACUCAGUUUUACGUCUCC